CAGUUUUAUUGAUUAAAAAUUUAAGUUACCUUAGGGAUAACAGCGUAAUUUUUUUUUUUAGAGUUCAUAUCGACAAAAAAGAUUGCGACCUCGAUGUUGGAUUAAGAGUUAUUUUUAGGUGUAGAAGUUUAAAGUUUAGGUCUGUUCGACCUUUGAAUUCUUACAUGAUCUGAGUUCAAACCGGCGUAAGCCAGGUUGGUUUCUAUCCUUAAUUAAUUAUUAUGUUAUAGU
rnacentral:rRNA from 1 species